UACAGAGGUGGCAAGCGUUGUUCGGAAUCACUGGGCGUAAAGGGUGCGUAGGCGGGUCUUUAAGUCAGGGGUGAAAUCCUGGAGCUCAACUCCAGAACUGCCUUUGAUACUGAGGAUCUUGAGUUCGGGAGAGGUGAGUGGAACUGCGAGUGUAGAGGUGGAAUUCGUAGAUAUUCGCAAGAACACCAGUGGCGAAGGCGGCUCACUGGCCCGAUACUGACGCUGAGGCACGAAAGCGUGGGGAGCAAACAGG
rnacentral:rRNA from 1 species